rnacentral:rRNA from 1 species
UAGGGAAUCUUCGGCAAUGGGGGGAACCCUGACCGAGCAACGCCGCGUGAGUGAAGAAGGUUUUCGGAUCGUAAAGCUCUGUUGUUAAGGAAGAACGAGUGUGAGAAUGGAAAGUUCAUGCUGUGACGGUACUUAACCAGAAAGGGACGGCUAACUACGUGCCAGCAGCCGCGGUAAUACGUAGGUCCCGAGCGUUGUCCGGAUUUAUUGGGCGUAAAGCGAGCGCAGGCGGUUAGAAAAGUCUGAAGUGAAAGGCAGUGGCUCAACCAUUGUAGGCUUUGGAAACUGGUGAACUUGAGUGCAGAAGGGGAGAGUGGAAUUCCAUGGGUAGCGGUGAAAUGCGUAGGUAUAUGGAGGAACACCGGUGGCGAAAGCGGCUCUCUGGUCUGUAACGGACGCUGAGGCUCGAAAGCGUGGGGAGCGAACAGG